GCGAGGCAUCCUGGAGAGACCCGCGGGGUCGGGAGGCUUGUUUCAGUCUCUCGGCGGGGGUCUCCUUGUGUGUUGCUGCUGCGUGGAGCCGCACCAUGGCAAUACAUGAUCAAAAAGUUGGGGUUAGUGGAGCCCUCUCUCCGCUAACCUCGUCUAAGGGGAGGGGGAAUUAGGAGGGUUUGCUGCCAGGAGCUGCACUGCUCCCAUGGCAGCAGAUGAUCAGCAAAAAGCAGGCUCGGCUCCCUUAGCCCGCUUUUUGCUGGUCGUGAGAAUCUCCUUAUUGUAUCCAUUUUAUUGUUGUAAGCCGCCCCAAGCAGUAGUGUACUGGAGGGGUGAGGUAUAAAUAUUUUAAAAAAUAGUUUCUAGAUUGCAGAUUCCUUCACUGGCAGUGAAGAGUGUUGGAGUGAAGACCAUAAGGUCUUUUAUUUCUGUCAGGGCUGGUGAAAUGAGAAAUCCUUUUAAAAAUAAAGGACAACGAUUAUUAUACAUGAAUGAUUUAACUCAUGUCUCUGAGAUAAAUAGGGAAACAGGCUUCGUCACAUAGGCCUUGGCUCCGUAGCUGUGACAGUGACCUCUUACUCCAUUUUACCUCAGAACUGCUAGGCCUCAGUCCUCCUAUUCGGUUUUUACAACCCUCCAAUCUUGUACCUCAUAAACAGAAGAGGCUGCUAAAUUCCUUGUAUAGGCUAUAGGGCCCAGGACUUUUAGGCAUGACAGGCAGAUCAAGAAUAGUAAAAUGAAACAGAAUGAACCACUGUUGAAUAGAAGCAGCAACGCUAACACUGCUAAGUAUUUGAGGCUUAUGUGCUAGAACAGAUCCAAUCUAUGUCCGAGACAAGAGUUAAAUCGUUCAAAUGUAAUAAUGGUUUCCUUUUUAUUUUCAAGAGAUUUCUCUUUCCUGGAGAAGGAGGGGAGGGGCAUAUUUCAUCAACUCCGACUGAAAUUUUUCUCAGCUGUUACUAGGGCAAAAGGCAAAAAGAGCAGGAAAAGCCACUGUUCACCCCACUUCUCGGCACAUUUGCUUCCCCCUCCUCCUUCUCCUUUUUUUUUUUAAGGCAGGGAAAAUCAAAUAAAAAUAAUUUCCACUUAUGCUGGCAUACCAUAUAAAAGUUAAUUAUUUGGGUGGGGGGAGGGGAUAUUUUGAGCUAUAAACUAGCUCUAAUACUCAUCUUGUGUUCUUCAUUUUCCUCAUCUCCACUCCUAUAAAACUAUCCACUCUACCCUUCUUCAAACAGUUGCUCCCCUUUAAAAAAGGGGCAGGAAAAUAUCAAAUAAAAAUACAGAAUUGGGAGCAAAAUAAGCAUUUUAUAAUUUAUUUGCAACAACACAGAAAUGGUACUGUCACACAACACAGAUUUCUCAUUGAACACCUUUUCUCACUGCAUCUCCCCAAGCUUUUCAUCUUUUCUUGUUUCAGAAGGUGACUUACAAUCAAGAUAGCAAAUGCAAACCAAUUAUAAAGCAGUAGCAGCACUACAACUUGAGGUAUGCAAGUGACAGAAAUCGGUUAAACCUUCAGCAGUCCUGUUCUUCAUUUAGCAACCAAAAAAACGGAGAGAUAAAUGCAAAGAUAUUCUUUCAUGAAGAGAUAGACUAAUUUCAGCCAAAACUGGUCUCUAUAACCCACCACUGGGAGAACAGGCUAUCAAGCGAUGACACCGAGAUCUCUCCCCAUACAUACAUGUAAUCCUUCUCAGUUUCCUUCUGAUUGUUUGCAUCACAAGAAGUUCAUUCAACAGUUACCAUUAUACAGUUUGCAUCACAAGCAGUAAAAGCCCAUAGGAGGAAAUGAAAGAGAAAAAAGAUACUGAGAAGAAGAAAAAUAGAAAUGAUAAAGAGACUCGUACUAGUGCAGCUGAGAAGAUUUCUGAAUCCAGCCCUUUCUCGUGCACCUUUACUGAAGAGGAAAUGUGGCCACAUCGUUGGAGAAGUUCCUGUCUCUGGUCUCCAUCAAAUGAACCUGUGACAAUGGCAAGCCAGGAAACAGGGUUUGUGAAGUGAUCUAAAUUCUGAGGCAAGUUCAUGUGGAAAUAGGGUCUCGUUCAGGUUUCCAGACCAAGUGUAAACUGUAGUUUGCCAGUAAGAACAAACAGAAAACUAUGGUUUGCCUCAAACCAGGAAAUGAGGGGAGCAUCGCUACAUGUUAGGGGAAUGUAUGAGCUCAAGGGGCCAGCCAAGCAUGUGCAUGUAACAUUACAAAAAGAGCUGGUUGUCUUAUUUAAACAAUGUAAGUGGGGGGAAUGGGGGGGAGGGGACAUUAUGACAAGCCUGAAGGGCUUGUUCUGUAAUUGUUAUACUAUAAAAUGCAAAUCCAAAAAAAUAGAAACAGCUUGACAGUUGAGCAGGAGAGAAUGAGUGAGGGAAUGUGGGUUUGGUGGGAAAUGUUCUCUUAGAGGUCAAAUAUGUGCAUCUGUAAUUUGUAGAAGGAAAAAAAGUUAUAUAAAAGAAAAAGUUGGUUCAGACGUAUAAAUUCAAUAUAUAAAAUAUGCCAUGUCAGUAUAUAAAUUUCAGCUUAUCCUUAAAGAUUGCUAUUGCUGCUGAAAUAUUGUGUGCAUUUGUUUGUAGCAUAGAUAAUAAGCAAAAAACCCCAAAAAACUCUUCCCAUAGUGCCUAAAAUAUAUAAUGUAUGCAUUACAUAAAAAGUGAACAUAUGUGUCUAAAGUGGUCAAUUAGGAAGCAUUUGUCUGUUUAAGGAGCAGCUUAACUGAUCCACGUAAUUAAUCUGUUAUCAUAUCUUACUCAUAUUUGACCACACAAUUUUUCCUUUGGUAAAAUAAUUGGCUUAUUCACAAAUGGCUUUUUAAAAAAAUGCUUUGAUGACUAAGUGUAAACCUUGAUACAAAAGGUAUCAAGGUUUCUAAUACACUGUACUAACACAUAAUUUAGAAGGUUUAUGGUGAGGGUUGAUUGCUCCAAGUGAUGUCUGUUAGAUCUAGUGAAAGACAUAAGGCUGAGACUAUAUAUGCACUUUUGAAAAUGGGAGUAUUGCAACCUAGCAUGGGGCUAAGGAAUGCUCAGUUAUAUCUUGAUUUGGGUUGGGUGAGACGAUAAAAAUGAUAUUUCAGGUGUCUGUGAAUUUGUUCACCAGUUCCUUUGCCUACUUAGUAUUUAUAUGUCCACUUCAUUUGCCACUUACUCACUUGCUCUGUAGGUUCAUUACUUCAAACCUGAAACGCUGAUGAAAGCUUCUUUCUGAGCAGUGGCGGCUGGUGAGGUGGUGCUGGGCACAGGUGAGGAGGGGAGAAGCCCUGAGAGAGGUAACUUUAAGAAGUUAUUACUGGCAGCACUGCUGGCACCUGCAAGCAACAGUAAGCAGUGGCACCCCACCCAGAAUCCCAUGCGGCGGCUGUGGUUCUGGCACUCACCUGGUCUCUCUGCGUGUGUGGAGGGCAUUUGUGUGGUCAGCAACACCGUGCUGGUCAUGCAAAUACACAUGUGCAGAGGCCAGGUGAAUGCAGUUACUGCAGCUGCUAUGUGGGAUGCCAGGUAGGGUGCUGCUGCUCGUGGUGGCUUGCAAGUGCCGGCUGUGCUGCUGGUAAUAACUUUUUAAAGGUACCUCUCUCUGCCCCCCGCCCCGCGCUGCCCUCACUGGCUGCCACUGUUUCUGAGUGGGAUUAGCUCUGCAGGAUCAAUGCCACAUGAGGGCUUCUAAACUUGAACAGCCAAAGGGAAGGAAGGUGAGGCAACUUGGGCAAUAAAUUUGUGUAGCCUCAUGGAAACUAGUGAUAAGUAGAGUUGACACAGCUCCCCUGCUGUAGUGAGUGAGUGUCGAAGCCUUAGUCCCUGAUAACUGGGCAAAGAGGCACCUUUUUAACAUGGUGAUUCUCUUUAUUUAGCAGGGGUAGAGUAACUGGCCCUAUCCACCCCCAUCAUAGUACCUCCAGUGAUUGUUGCUGAUGUCUGUCCUACAUUUCUUUUUAGAUUGUGAGCCCUUUGGGGACAGGGAUCUAUCUUAUUCUCUAUAUAAACUGCUUUGGAAACUUUUGUUGAAAAGUGGCAUAUAAAUAAUUGUUGUUAGUCAUAACCAGACGCAUUUCCAGACAUUUUGUCUUCCAGGGCCCAAGAAAAAUUGCUGGAGCUGGUUAUUUGGGGACAAAAUGUGCACCUGUGCAGAUGACAUGUUUGCACUCCUAGAUUUCUAAUGUGAGUGGAGCCAGGGAUUAGGGCAGAAUCUGGUGCUGCAACACCUUUUAAUGAAUGUAGACUGGUAAAAUAUGUGCCCAACGUCUGGGGCGCUGCUGGCUCCUAAAAGGUUGGCAGUUUAAGCCUAUUUCAUUUGUAAUCACAAGGAGCUCAGAGUGGCAUAAAUUGCUCCACCCACUUAUUGUCACAACAGCUUCCUGAAGUAUGUUAUAUUGAGAACUGGUGACUGGGCCAAAAUCAUUUGAGUCUGGGUCUUCCGGUCAGAGUCCAACUCUGACCAUUAUAUCACACUACCCUUUUUAACAGGACUUAAGUGCUCUUCAGAUGUCAUGUAAAACACCACUCUAAAUGUAUACAGUGCCAAAAGUGGGUCUGAAAGUCCCACCCUGGAGCAUCACUCAGCCUGCUCACUGCGCUGCUCAGCCAUUUGUCUGAAGAGGCAGAUGCUGUAACUGUGAUGGCGGAUAUUUGCCUCCCAGAAAUGCCCACCAUUAUGGUUACAGUAUUCACCUUUUUAGACAAACAUCAUCACUGAGCAGUGUGGUGAGCGGGCUGAGUGAUGCACUGCGAUGGGAGUUCCUACUUUUGGAGCUGUGCACAUUUACAGUGCUAGUUUACAUAAUGUCUGGACUAACCAUCCAAUAUUUUAUCACUUGAGAGUUCUAGGAGAGAUGAAGAUGAAGUAGUCCACACAGACUUGUUCAUGUAACCUGUUGCAAUAAUCUCAAUAUUUCCUUCCUUGUAAAUUUUAGACAACACUUGCUGCAUCCUGUGAGCCUUCUACUGGUGUGAACUGCUUGUAUCUGAGCAACUAUGCAUAGAGAUGUAAAAUUUUCAGAAAUUUUGAAAUCAUAGGGAAAACCCCAAAUUUUUAAAUUUUUCCUGAAAAGCAAAUGGAAAUUUUGGGAAUAAUUGAAAUAUAUGCAAUAACAUUUAUCAUGUUUGGUAUAUUACAUUUAGUAGUACUGUAUUGCUAUUGGUAGUUUCUGCUUCUUUUGAGCCUUCAUUUUCUAUCAACUUAAUGACUACUGAAAACUGAAUUACCUAUAUUGAGACAAGCCUCUCUACCUUUGCACGUGUUCCUUUAUUUUUUUUUAAUUUUAUUAUUUUAUUUUAUUUUCAAACAUAGACCAGUUUCUUUCACAUGCUAUAGAAGAUGGAGGAUUCUGGGAGAGUAAAGGUCAGAACACCUCUCCUUAUAUGAAUAUAUCUGAACAUCUUUUCUUAAACAUUUUAUUCAUAAUUUCAAAAGAAAAUAUUUCAUAAUCAAUUUUUUUCCAUUUCCCCAAUUUUGUAAGUGUAGAAAAAAACAAAGUCCUUGGGAGAGAAAAAUGGGGGGGGGAGAGACUCUCACCCACCCAGAUUUUCCCCCAGGCAUUUACAUCUCUGUGCAUCUAAGUUCUAACAGAUCCGAUUCUAACAUCCAUCCCUUAAAAAUUCUACACCAAAACCUGGUCACAAGGAUUAGAAGUAUUGCUCUCAAGUCAGUGUGUGUAGGAUUGAGGAAGGUAUUAUCAGAACCAGAUUUACAACCCACUUCUGUGUAUGUUUAACUAAAAGUAAAACUAGCACUGUUAGUCUUCAGACAUUUUCAGACCAUCAUCGUCUCAGAUCUGUAAAUUCUAUAUUUCUAAAUUCACUCCAGUCCUGUGCAUGUGUACUCGGAAAUGAAAAUUGACCUCUUCCUGUCUCCUGCUGGAUUAUGUGUGAAUGUCUUUGCUGCCUAAUUAUCUCUGGAUUAGGAAACUGGGUAGUUGUACCUAUUGCCUGAGUAGUAGAAAUGUAAACAUUAUUGAAUAAAUUAUUAGUUUAGACUAUUAAAAUCACAUUGUUUACAUGUUUCAACACUGGAAUAAGGCCUGACUUCUCCCCAGUUUGGCUGUGGUGUUAAGUCCUAAUGACCUUCCUGUCUCAACCUAGGUCAGGGUAGGCCAUUUUUGGUACUCCAACUCUUGUUGAACUACAACUCCCAUCAUUCCCAGCCACAAUAAAUUAACAGCACACAAAUUUACACAAACAGUAAAUUGUGAUUGUACAGUAUGUAAAACUUCUGAAUAUGAGACAUUUUUUUCCAUUUUGCUGUUAAGCUACAUUGUGAGGGCUUCUUAUGUUGAAAAGUGAUAGAUUAUAUACUUAAAGUUAUUGUAAGUAAUCUCAAGAAUAUAUUCAGUCCUAACUAUAAAAUCUUAUACAUUUUCCAUGGACCUAUGCUCUCUUGGUUUAACUUACGUCACAGGGCUGUUGUGGGGAUAAAAAUGAGAGAUCCCUGUUUACAACACAUCCAAGCACUAAGCUAAUAGCUCGCUAUGAGCCUUUCUAAAUGAGGGGGUUUGCUAUGGUUGGAUUAGUCAGUUUGCCCAAAGUGACUGUGGGCUGUGCAAACACUCAAGAUUUUCCUACUAUUUUGUACUGUUUCUUGCUCAGUUUCCUGCAGACACCUUGGUCUUCUGCAUUAAAAAAAUGUUGAUGUAAUGCUCCUCUUCCAUGCAGCAGAGCCUUUCCUCUCUGCCCAUUAUGGCUGCCUGCUGUUGCCGCCAGUGUUGCAUGCGCAUUGUGGGAGAACAGUGUAAUUUUUAUCGUUAAUAUUGAUUGAUGUUGUUAUUGUUAAUUUCAAGAAUAAACUUGUUUUUACUUGUAAGAAUUAAAGGCUUUAUCAUUC